rnacentral:lncRNA from 1 species
UAUAUUAAAGCCAUGUAGGGGGUGGGGCGUCUAUGGUGUCUGGGAGCUUUGGAUCCCCUGCAGUUUUUACAGAGCACUGAUAUCUAUGGACUCUAACAUGGACUUCAUUUAAAGAAACCCACGGACCAUUAAUGGACAAAAACAUGAAUCAAUUUGUAUUGUGGCAUUCAAAUCCUAGCACUUUGGGAGAGGCUGGUCUUGAAGACCUGGGCAUAAGCAAUUCUCCUGUCUUAGCCUACUGAGGAGAUGGGAUUACAGCAUCAAGUACCAAGUUUUUGAAGACCAUGACCCACCAUACCAUCAUUAUGCAUUCAAGAGUUGAGUAUGAAUAAACACAUCAAGAUUUAGAUCCUCUUCAAAAGUUUCAAGUGUCAUCUGCAUUAAAGCUCUCCAUUGGACCCUCUCACAAAAAUAAAAGCUGAAAGGGACCCAACUCCAUUAAUAUACUUUAAAAAAUAUCCCUUCCUCUGACUUCAGUUUCCUUGACCAUUAGGGUCUUUCAUAUUGCUUAUGUUCCUUUAGACAAGAGCUAACAAAAUGGUGC